rnacentral:rRNA from 1 species
CGAAAGCCUGACGGAGCAAUACCGCGUGAGGGAUGACGGCCUAUGGGUUGUAAACCUCUUUUUUCAGGGAGGAAUCAAUGACGUGUACCUGAAGAAUAAGCAUCGGCUAACUCCGUGCCAGCAGCCGCGGUAAGACGGAGGAUGCAAGCGUUAUCCGGAAUUAUUGGGCGUAAAGCGUCCGUAGGCGGCUAAUCAAGUCUGCUGUCAAAGCCCACAGCUCAACUGUGGAGAGGCAGUGGAAACUGAAUAGCUAGAGUGUGGUAGGGGCAGAGGGAAUUCCUGGUGUAGCGGUGAAAUGCGUAGAUAUUAGGAAGAACACCAGCGGCGAAGGCGCUCUGCUGGGCCAUAACUGACGCUGAUGGACGAAAGCUAGGGGAGCG